rnacentral:rRNA from 1 species
GACAGAGGAUGCAAGCAUUAUCUGGAAUGAUUGGGCGUAAAGCGUCUGUAGGUGGCUUUUCAAGUCCGCUGUCAAAUCCCAGGGCUCAACCCUGGACAGGCGGUGGAAACUACCAAGCUGGAGUACGGUAGGGGCAGAGGGAAUUUCCGGUGGAGCGGUGAAAUGCAUUGAGAUCGGAAAGAACACCAACGACAAAAGCACUCUGCUGGGCCGACACUGACACUAAGAGACGAAAGCUAGGGGAGCAAAUGGG